UUGUUCGAUACUGGAUUUUGUAUUGCACCGUAAAGCUUCGACAAAUAGAAGACAUUCGAUGACUGGACACAGAGGUAGAGGACGCAGGCUGAUUGCGUUCAAUUGAGAUAAAGUCGAAGAUUCACCAUCGUGUCCUUCCUACGUUCUGAAAGAAGGACUCACAAAUUCCUCUUCAAAGCUCCAUCAAUGUAGCCAGUUGAUGCCUUGAACAACUAGAAAUUGGAUAUGAAUGGGAUCUGGACUAAAACCUUAAUAAAAACUUGUAUGACUUUUGCAGGUAUGUCGGUUCCCUUUCCUUCAAAUUCCAAACUUACAAACUUAAAUAGCGUGGAUCGUUCUGCAUUUAUUCUAAACUGCAGACCUUUUAUUCCGAAGUGCAGACAUUACUUUUUUUUAAAAAUUUUA